GACGAACGCUGGCGGCGUGCCUAAUACAUGCAAGUAGAACGCUGAAGAGAGGAGCUUGCUCUUCUUGGAUGAGUUGCGAACGGGUGAGUAACGCGUAGGUAACCUGCCUUGUAGCGGGGGAUAACUAUUGGAAACGAUAGCUAAUACCGCAUAACAAUGGAUGACCCAUGUCAUUUAUUUGAAAGGGGCAAAUGCUCCACUACAAGAUGGACCUGCGUUGUAUUAGCUAGUAGGUGAGGUAACGGCUCACCUAGGCGACGAUACAUAGCCGACCUGAGAGGGUGAUCGGCCACACUGGGACUGAGACACGGCCCAGACUGCUACGGGAGGCAGCAGUAGGGAAUCUUCGGCAAUGGGGGCAACCCUGACCGAGCAACGCCGCGUGAGUGAAGAAGGUUUUCGGAUCGUAAAGCUCUGUUGUAAGUCAAGAACGAGUGUGAGAGUGGAAAGUUCACACUGUGACGGUAGCUUACCAGAAAGGGACGGCUAACUACGUG
rnacentral:rRNA from 1 species